rnacentral:rRNA from 1 species
CAGUCGCCACGGGAAUACGGAGGGUGCAAGCGUUAAUCGGAAUUACUGGGCGUAAAGCGUGCGUAGGCGGCUAAUUGAGUCGGAUGUGAAAUCCCCGAGCUUAACUUGGGAAUUGCAUUCGAUACUGGUUAGCUAGAGUGUGGGAGAGGAUGGUAGAAUUCCAGGUGUAGCGGUGAAAUGCGUAGAGAUCUGGAGGAAUACCGAUGGCGAAGGCAGCCAUCUGGCCUAACACUGACGCUGAGGUACGAAAGCAUGGGGAGCAAACAGGAUUAGAUACCCCGGUAGUCCCUGUCUCUUAUAC